rnacentral:rRNA from 1 species
UACGUAGGGACCAAGCGUUGUUCGGAUUUACUGGGCGUAAAGGGCGCGUAGGCGGCUUAACAAGUCACUUGUGAAAUCGUCCGGGCUUAACUCGGAACGGCCAAGUGAAACUGUCAAGCUAGAGUGACGGAAGGGGCAAUCGGAAUUCUUGGAUGUAGCGGUGAAAUGACGGUAGAUAUCAAGAGGGAACACCUGGAGGUGAAGACGGGUUGCUGGGCCGACACUGACGCUGAUGACGCGAAAGCCAGGGGAGCAAACGGG